GUGGGUCUGUGUUGUGCGGCUUGCAAGCCUGUUUCCCUCACCCUCUCCAAGUAGCAUGGGACCCACAGCUCUUCAGCCUAUGGUAAAUGACAUCUUGCUUGGGAAUAGAACUCUUGGAGCAUGUAGAUAUGAUUCCACGGUCUUCCAGCUACUAUUGCAGGUGCCUCUGGAUCUCACAGUCCACAGGAUGGAUGACAAUGAUGCCGUCGUCGGAGAAGACGUAGAACAUGUUUCCCACGCUGAGGC